AGGCUGGGCCCCACGGGCUGCCCUCUUCUGCGGGCACGCGGCGCGCGGAGAAGCCGCCAGGCUGCGGCCGCGCUGGGGAGACCGGCCCGGAGCUCACGGGCGGCCCGCGGGCUGUGGGCUCCUCCGAGAGGGAAGGCGCGGCCUGGGCGGGUCCCACAGUCCCUCCUGCCGCUGGAGCCCCCGUGCCCUUCUGGAGCCGAGCCCCUGCCCCUGGCCGUGUUUCCUGGAGACCGAGGCUGCCUGAGGCUUUAGUGGGCAGUGCAGGGUAGACCCCUCGGCUGGGGGCGGCCGGUGGAAGACCCCGAGUCCUUCACAAGUCUCUGCCCAGAUGCGUCCACCAGCCUGAAACCUCCGCGUCCUGGUCCCAAGGAAGCCCCGGCCGGUGGGUUUGCACAGACAGCCCCGCGCACUGGCACGGGCUGCGGUGGAACUUUCCUUCCCUCACUGGGAAAGUGCCCACCCGCCCGUGGCCACUGCUCAGGACGGUGCCUUCCGGGCAGCUCCCCCGCUGCGGCCUCCCGCCUCGGCAGGGCAAGGCCAAGAACCAUGCGACCAAACCAAGUGUGUUGUUCUGGGACCUGGGUCCCCACAGGGUUCAGACUCAAGUUCCCAACCCCGGGGGCUGCCCCGGGGGCCCUAAGAGGACUUCGGAUUGGAGUCAGAAGGCAGAGCGGCCGGCAGGUGGGGCCGUCAGCCCAUCGGCUCCGCCAGGUCAGUGGGCAGACUUUCCGGGGUUCAGGGAGUGAGUUUCACGGUGGCAGAGUGACUCUGACCUCCUCCGUCAGGAAGGCAGAGAGCUGUGUGGACCCGCGUGGGGCUGAGGUGGCCGACGGGAGUCCAGCCCUGGUGUGGGGCUGCUGUCUGUGGACUGGGCAUUCCGUAAGGGGUUGCUCCAUUUUUAAACGGAGUGUCCCGUGGACGCCGAGCCAUUGGCUGUGCUGAUCUCUGACUCAGCCAGUCUCUGACCCUCCCAGCUGGCCCUCGGUCACUUACAGGGAGCUCUCGCUUACACACAGGCUGCCUUAAGCCCCGGACCUCUGUUUUCCGCGCUGUGAAAUGGGAACACUGAUAGAAUUAGCUGAUGUUUAUUAGGGGCCCACGACGGCAGCGCUCGAGUCACCUGGGUCCCAGCCACGCGUGGAGCAGGAAUCUAACUCGCAGCAUGUAGUGUCCCCCGUCCCUCCUCCUGGAUGUCUGCUCCGGCCCCUCUCGGGAGCCCCGCUGCGUACCUCAACCUCGGUCCUCCCCUCAUCUCCCACCUGAACCCAGCGCCACCCAGCGGCCUAGGGGGCCGCCCAGGGGUCCGCUGGGCAGCUUGUCUGUCCCUCUGCUUCGCCAGGGAGGCCGGCUCCACCUGGCAUAGCCUCCCUGCUUGGGUGGCCGUUGUAUCGCCAAGCCCGGCACGCACAGGUGCUGAGGAAGACAGUGCCGGCAGGAGAGAAGGAAAAACCGUGUGGGUCAGCUCAUUGCCCCUUACCAAGGCUCGGCAUGUGACUCCCUCCGCUGUCGCCAGGGUUCAGGAGCUUCAGGUCAAAUGCCAGGUGGGGUGCGUCCCUGUCCUGGACUGGGAGUGGGGGUUCCCAGGCAGAGAUGUCAAUCCAGGCGGACACAGGAUGAUGGAGAAGGCUGUGUGUGCGUCCCUGAUGGGGCAGGAGCCCUGCGGGUGCUAAGCAGAGGAGGGCACUGCUGCCUUGUGGGGAGUAGCUUCCGGACAAACACCGAGGACAGGCUCCUUCGCCCCGUGACUGCCCGGAGGGCUUGGCGGCCCAGGAAUGCACCUCACUCCACCGGCUGGCAAGAACAUCCAGUGGCCGCGAGUGGGCAAGGGGUGGGGGCAGCCUGUGGACGGGAGGGCAGCACCCCAGAACAGAGCCAGGGCUACACAACCCUGGGACUCCUGCCGGCCCCCUGAGCAGAGGCCUUCUUAGCUGAGGGGUGGAGGUCCCAUAGCACUGCCCCGUUGGGGGGCUUGUCAGGUGGGGUCAGGACGAGGGGCCAGAGAACCGAGCCUGGGCCUGGGGCUCGGCUUUGUGUGGGAGGUGAUGUCCAUGAUUCAGGGCGCCAGAGGGUGGCUGGGGACCAGUGUGUCCUCGUGCUGGUCAGGGAUGGCAUUUCCCUGGCAGAACAGCAUGUCUGGCAGGAGCAGAGCCAGCCUGGCGCUGUGGGGCUCGGAGCCAUGGUCAGGGUUCCACCAGAGCCAGGACAGGAAGCCGAACUCGGGCUGGGGGAGGAAGGGGUUACCGUCAUGUGGCAGAGCUAAGCGACCAAAGGUCAGAGAGCUCUUCUCGGGUAAAAGCAGGCACCAGGCAGGUCCCAGGUCUGUCCGGUCCCACAGCUGUCCCUAAUGGCCUUGCCUGUUGCUGGACGGGCACGGGGUCUUCACGCGGGUGCGGCCAUCAUCCCAGACUGAGCUGGCUGGUGCCCCGGCCAGCAGCAGGGGCUCCCCCCUGUGGAAGGCGGAGGGACUGCAUGGACAGGUGACCCAGGGCAGGGCAGGCGCUCCUGGGGGUCCCGCCGGUGUCUCCUCCGGGUCAGGGCUCUGGGAGCACGUGCUCAGCGUCAGUGGUGCAGCCACUUGGUUCCUGAACGCGGGUUUGCACGACAUCAGCAGCCGUCAAGGGCAGCAGCUCCUCCUGGUUCCUCCGGCCCCGUUCGGGGUGCAGCCCCGUGAGCCGGGAAGAGGCGGAUGGGAGAUUUCUGCGGCAGAGUUGGAGAACCGAGGCUGUCGAAGGCCCACGACCUUCCCGGUCUGAAGCGACAAGGGCCGCGGGGCCUCAUGCGCAUGUGGGACGGACGCUCCGCGUGUGGCCCAGGGGGUGCUGUGAGUGUGCCCUGGGGUUCUCCUGUGAGCAGAGAGGCCGGUGGGCGGGGCUGAGGCCUCCAGCAAAAGGCUCUGGGUGUUCCGGCCGGUCCGCACGCUCAUUGCUCUGCCCGUUUAUUGGCUAUAAACUGACAAACAGGCGUGACCUA